CACAAUAGCUGAGUUGUUUUGAGGUCAUCUCACCGAUCAGUGCAAUAGCGAGAAUUCCUUACUUCACACCGAACCGUAGCUGAAGUUUGUACCUGUGGCCUUAUAUUUUCAAACCUUUGGAUCAUGAAUAAUAUUGUUUUUUGGGUUCUCCUGUUUGCCGUCUGUUUGACCACGGUGGAAUGCCUAAAAAAUCCCUUCAGAAAAAAGGCUUACAAUAUACGGAAGUUUUUAUCAACGCAUGAACCCAUCUGGACUUACAACACGACCAAACGGGCCUAAUGUUUGGUGUGAGGUGGGCCUGAAGCUGAAUAUCACCGAUAAUUCUAUUUUUUUCAAACGAUCCUCCUACGACCGCAAGGGAAUGACAUCAGCCGUGCUAGAGGGGAAAUUUACCUCGAGCAGGAAGAAGCACAUGGAUAUUGAUAGUCCAGGUGGUGUAUACAGACUGCAGGAGGACAUAAUUUAUAUGAGUGAAAACGGAAGCUGUGCGGUGAUCAAGGUGACGACGUCAUUUGGUGGAACGCAAGAAACAUAUGACCUCCGUGUGACGAAUUCUUCACUUAAAUCGGGACCUACAGAGAAAUGCAUAUCUAAAUUCAGUAAGCAUGAAGGUGAAGGAAAGGUUAUUUACGAUGCGCAGUGCCAAGGUAUACUGGCUAGCGAUGGUGUCAAUAUUAAAAUCUGACGAGAUAGCGAAACCUUAUUUCAAAAAAAAUCUUCCAGUAUUUUUUCUUCGUUUUCAAUAAAUUUAAGUGUUCAAAAAUCAAUAAACAGUACCAUUACCAC